rnacentral:rRNA from 1 species
GAUGAACGCUGGCGGCGUGCUUAACACAUGCAAGUCGAACGGGAAAUAUUUCAUUGAGACUUCGGUGGAUUUGAUUUAUUUCUAGUGGCGGACGGGUGAGUAACGCGUGGGUAACCUGCCUUAUACAGGGGGAUAACAGUCAGAAAUGGCUGCUAAUACCGCAUAAGCGCACAGAGCUGCAUGGCUCAGUGUGAAAAACUCCGGUGGUAUAAGAUGGACCCGCGUUGGAUUAGCUUGUUGGUGGGGUAACGGCCCACCAAGGCGACGAUCCAUAGCCGGCCUGAGAGGGUGAACGGCCACAUUGGGACUGAGACACGGCCCAGACUCCUACGGGAGGCAGCAGUGGGGAAUAUUGCACAAUGGGGGAAACCCUGAUGCAGCGACGCCGCGUGAAGGAAGAAGUAUCUCGGUAUGUAAACUUCUAUCAGCAGGGAAGAUAGUGACGGUAC